ensembl:lncRNA
UUUGUUGUUGCACGCAUUCUCGGUACACAAGCUCGCGUGCACGGCUUCGUUAUCUCAUACUAGCGAAUCGGUACCCUCCGCGUGCGCCCUGUUAGCUGCUGUAAAGCGUUUUUUUUUCCGUUCUGGACAACAUGGACAGGAAGUGAAGCCAGCUCUGAGAAUAAUCUAAAGGCACCCGUGACAGUUUGUAACAUCAGAACUACCGUAAGCUGAAGUCUGAUUGGAGGAAUGGCGUGCCAAUCGACCCUGCACCAGUGAUCAGGGUAUGUGGCAGUCCUCCCACUAUAACUCUUCUCUUACUGCAUACAGUAAUGUGCCUGCUGUUUGUCUGUGAAGUGUCUUCAAAGCACUGUAAGAUGUGACUUUUCGGCUUACGUGUUUCAAGCCAUAACUGGUUUGAAACACAUCCCAACAGAAUAUCGUGACUUUUUUAGCAGUUUCACUGUUAGGCUUCACUGGCUACUAAGCAUGGAUGUGAAUGAUAGGGA